CUUCUCUCAGAGUGCUUUUACAAUGAAGUGAGCGAUACUUUGUCUAAAUGUCUGAUUUUGUAUCUCAUUAUUUAUGUGGUGAUUCAUUUUUUUUACCCAGUCCUGAUGCUGAUGGAAGACUGGGGACAGGUGGGGUGCAGAAGAAAAAGAGGAGCUUUAAUAACCAAGCUUGAAACCAGAGGAGAGCAAAGAAUGCAGAAAAAUCAACAAAAAAAAUCGGAAGAACGACAUCCCAACUCGGUGAACGGGAGAAUCCGAGGAGCAUGUGAAUGCAGCACAGUAAACUGAGGGAAGAAGAUGGGAAAAAGACAAAGACAGAGUGCAAAGAAUCUUGGGAUAUGUGAGUCCGCAAAGGAUGGUAGAGAUGCAUCCUACAAAAACAGGGAAAAGAAGGCCACGUUUGUAGGCUGCAUUUGGAGGAGCCUUCAAAUCGGGUCAGCCUUCAUGUGGCAUUGUGACGUAAUUGGCAUUCAAAUGCGUCCUCUGAAGCAUGCAGACCCUGAAAUGGGACACAACUUAUGUGACAUUCUUAGUUUCCUCUUGUAACUACCACUGGAUGGCGCCGAAGU